rnacentral:rRNA from 1 species
CAUACGGCUCAGUAACAUGUGGUUAACCUACCCUCAGGUGGGGGACACCCUCGGGAAACUGAGGCUGAUCCCACAUAGAUGAUGGAUCCUGGAAUGGUUCUUCAUCCAAACGGUAUGCGGCUCAUGCGUCGCGUGCCGCCUGAGGAUGGGACCGCACCCUAUCAGGUAGUUGGUGGGGUAAUGGCCCACCAAGCCUAUAACGGGUACGGGCCCUGAGAGGGGGAGCCCGGAGAUGGGCACUGAGACAAGGGCCCAGGCCCUACGGGGCGCAGCAGGCGCGAAACCUCUGCAAUGCGCGAAAGCGCGACAGGGCCACCCCGAGUGCUAGGCGCUGAGUCUAGCUUUUCCCUAGUGUAGUGAGCUAGGGGAAUAAGCGGGGGGCAAGCCUGGUGUCAGCCGCCGCGGUAAUACCAGCUCCGCGAGUGGUCGGGACGAUUAUUGGGCCUAAAGCGUUCGUAGCCGGCCUAUCAAGUCUCUGGUUAAAUUUCAAGGCUUAACCUUGAGCGUGCUGGAGAUACUGUUAGGCUAGGGGGCGGGAGAGGUUGAGGGUACUUCGCGGGUAGGGGCGAAAUCCUAUAAUCCGCGAAGGACCACCAGUGGCGAAGGCGCUCAACUGGAACGCGCCCGACGGUGAGGGACGAAAGCCAGGGGAGCAAAGG